rnacentral:rRNA from 1 species
GACGAACGCUGGCGGCGUGCUUAACACAUGCAAGUCGAACGGUGAAGCGCCUUCCUUUUUGGUGGCUGGGGAUGUGUGGCAAACGGAUGAGUAACACGUGAGUAACCUGCGCCCUUCUGCUGGGUAACCGCAUGAAAGUGUGGCUAAUACGGGAUAUUCUGGGUCUGUCGCAUGAUGGGUCUGGGAAAGAUAUUGUUUCGGUGGGGGAUGGGCUCGCGGCCUAUCGGCUUGUUGGGGGGGUGAUGGCCUACCAGGGCGGUGACGGGUAGCCGGCCUGAGAGGGUGGACGGUCACACUGGGAAUGCGACACGGCCCGGACUGAUACGGGAGGCAGCAGUGGGGAAUAUAGCACAGUGGGCGCAAGCCUCAUGCAGCGACGCCGCGUGAGAGAUAGAGGCCUUCGGGUGGUGAACCUCUUUCGCCAGUGAAGCAGGACUGCCUCGGCUGUAGGUGGGUUGACGGUAGCUGGAUAAGAAGCGCCGGCUAACUACGUG